CGUAGCUGGAUCUCGGUGCCAGAUAGAUGGUCCGUCUACCGUUAGUUACUGCCUAUUCUGGGCAGUCAGCUGGCUUUCUCUGAUGAUCUCCGGUUGUCUUCGGUGAUUGGCAAGUUUACUUUGAAAAAAUUAGAGUGCUCAAAGCAGGCGUGAGGCCUGAAUAAUGGUGCGUGGAAUAAUGGAAUAAGACCUAGGUUCUACUCUGCAGGUUUUUGGAUUACGAGGUAAUGAUUAAGAGGGACAGUCGGGGGGACAUUUGUAAUGUGACGCCAGAGAUGAGAAAGCUAACCCUAAUUCAACUCGAAAUUUGUGCAAAACAUGCAAAGCUUUUACUUAACGAUAUCUUCCUGACAAAG
rnacentral:ncRNA from 1 species